ensembl:lncRNA
GUGGUGGCUCAGCUUUGCUAUUUAAAACUCAAGCUGACUGUCAUGUUUACUGGCUGCUCAGCAGUGGACGUUGCUGUCUGUUGGGUGCUUUAAGAAGUUGGUGAACGUCCCAGUGCACCGUGCAGCUACAGUGGCGAGUGGUGCAUAAAAGGUAUACAGGACACUGCUAAUCGUAUUUGUCCAGUAUGUGAUUUUAGUCCCUGGCUCCUUGAUUGUGUUGCUGAAAAUAUUUGCUGAGUCCAAAGUUUCAACACAGCUAGUUAGUAGUACAGCACAGUGUCUGUACGUCGCACGUCCCAAAUCUGCUUGUUUGCUGCAAGCUGCUCUUUCCGCUUUAAGCAGUGUGUGUGUGUGUGUGUGUGUGUGUGUGUGUGUGUGUGUUGAGUGUAUUGAAUUCAACUGAAUGAUAUUAACUCUGGAUUUGCUCAUUUGCUUGUUUCAAUUUGCACACCAUUUUUUUAAAAACAUCUUUUCUGAACACCUCAAGCUCAUAAUUGGUGCAAAGAAGUUCCUCAGCUGGUUGUGGCAGCUGAUCUUUUAGGAGUUACUCAAACAGUUCCGCAGUGAUGAAGGCAAAAAGGGCCUUUCCACUUGAAUGAUGUUUUCGGGCGUAGACUUUGUGCCCGGCCCUUCCCCUCACAGGACAAAUGGGAAGCUCGUUCUCUUCCUCCGGCAAUGGUUUCAAAUAUUCACAAACGCUACAGGCGAGACGGCUUAACCUGGGUGUAUAGAGGAAAG